AUGUUUGAGUAUAAGGCUGCUUUUAAUCAUUUUAAUUUCUUUAUUCAUUUUUGACAGAGGGUCUGUUCAAUUUCAAUGUUGUCAUGUAGUAAAGCAGGAUAUUAUUUACCCCUGUUUGAAUUAAAUUUGAGAUCAAGUUUCAAGGCUGAAAAAAAAAAAUCCAAAACCUUUGUCUGGUUAGUGCCUUCUUCAACACACAGAGAGAGAGAGAGAGAGAGAGAGAGAGAGAGGUGUACGUGUCAAUUGCCAUUUUUUCCACAAGUUUGUAAUAUUAUGUCAGACUGACAAUUUGAGAUCAAAAUAUUUAAGUACAUGUAUUUGUUUUAUUUCUUUGUGCUCUCACUCCCAGGUGUCAAGCGAUACAAAAAUAUUUUACGACCAUAUACAAAGAAUCAAUCGCCAUGCGUCCGAGUGGAACCUUAUUUACUGUUCGACUUAUUCUCUUAAGAGAUGCGGACAGACAUGGACAUCAUCUGAGAAUAAUCUUCGACUACGUCUAGAAAUACAGUAGAUGCGUGUAUACUUCAAAUUGAAAAUAAAGUUACAUCUGUUU
rnacentral:sRNA from 1 species